UGCUGUCAGUACAUUUUAUUAUGAUACUAUAAGCUCAGAAAUGAAGUUGAUCGAACAAUUCGAUCGGUGCUAUAAACAUUUAAAUGAACCGAAUAGAAAUCAGAAUAGAAACAUCUGAAUGAUCUUUCUUGGACAUAGCCUACAUUUUGAAGUGACCCUUUGAAUUAAAAAGGUUCCUCACCCCUGCUUUUGAGGAAAAACAUCAAUGUGCUUGGCCACUCUGGUUUUUAAAUUAUUCUGAACUAAAGCAAGGAUUGUUCAAGGAAGUUCAAAACAGACUGUCUCUGGUUAAAUUAGUUCUACACCAAGCCUUUAGGUGGCAGUACAACUAAUUCGCACAAUGCGAAUUCCACACACAAGCCACAAAGAAGCCAUCUACCGCGGUCAACAACACCGACCUAUCUGAACAGAACCACGCGCUGUCUGUGUGGUUUCACUGUUACAAGUUUCUUGGCGACAUGGGGGAAAGUUCCUCACAUACCAACGGAAAAUGGGCUUCACAUACAUGCUGCUGUCUCAUAAUAUGGCGAAGACGAGUCACUUGAAGGCCUAACAGCUCUUAUGAGGAGCAGUCUUGCCAUAGAAGACUGAAAGAAUGAGCUGUAGAAACAACAGGGUGCCUGCUGCAGUAUGACGAGGACGCCCUGAUCAUAGAAGGUCCAGUGUCUUGGCAGGGUGAAAUGGCACUGAUAUCGUGUCCUGCAGGAUGCUGUGUCCUGCAAUCCUGUGUGCUGUGCUACAGACGCGUGUGGAGGUCAACCCGAAAUGGGCACAGUAGCGUGAAAGAGGAUCCUGGCAGGGAGACGGUAGUGUCCUGCAGGAUGGUGAUGGGCAAUCUUACAAGAGACCACAGAAAACUGAUAUAGUCUCCCAGAAGUGAGACUGAGUGCCUGUUGCAGUAUGACGAGGAAGCAGUGACCAGAGACCUUCAGUAGACCCUGCUGGCAUGAUUGGCGGCUGAAGAACAUAAUCAACAGCAAUGUUUAUAAUAUUGUACAUACCUGUAUAGUCUGCACUAAAAUGCUGUACCUGUACUAUUUUUCCUCUUACUUUCAUAUUUACUAUGAAUUGACAACUUUUACUCAAAUCCAUUUUUGUAUGUGCCCUGACUAAAACUAUCCUUAAACCUAACCUGUCAGAGGUGUAAUAACAACCUGCUCUUAGCAAUGUGGCAGCAGUCUACUUGGAUGCAGCGGGGAACAUAGAACCCUUUUUUUGAAAAAGCAUUGUAUGUUUCUGAGUUUUAUGAAUUGUGCCCUUCCCAAACCUAACCUGUCGUAGGGGCCUAUGAAAUCCGUUUUUUUUAAUUAUUAUUAUUUACAUUUUUGAACUUAUUUU